GGAAGUAAAAGUCGUAACAAGGUCUCCGUAGGUGAACCUGCGGAGGGAUCAUUACAGAGUUCUCGCCCUCGCGGGUAGAUCUCCCACCCACUGUGAUUGCUACCGUGUUGCUUUGGCGGGCCGCUGGGCCCCGCCCCGCCGCCGGCCCCGGCCGGCGCGUGCCCGCCAGAAGCCCCGCAAACUCUGAAUGUCAGCGUCGUCUGAGUACUAUAUAAUAGUUAAAACUUUCAACAACGGAUCUCUUGGUUCUGGCAUCGAUGAAGAACGCAGCGAAAUGCGAUAAGUAAUGCGAAUUGCAGAAUUCAGUGAGUCAUCGAAUCUUUGAACGCACAUUGCGCCCUGUGGUAUUCCGCAGGGCAUGCCUGUUCGAGCGUCAUUUCAACCCUCAAGCUCUGCUUGGUGUUGGGCCCUGCCCGCUGCGGCCGGCCCCAAAGACAGUGGCGGUGCCGCCUGGCCCUGAGCGUAGUACAUCUCUCGCUCCAGUGUCCGGCGGUGGCCUGCCAGAACCCAAACUCUCGUGGUUGACCUCGGAUCAGGUAGGGAUACCCGCUGAACUUAAGCAUAUCAAUAAGCGGAGGA
rnacentral:rRNA from 1 species